rnacentral:rRNA from 1 species
GCUCUCUGGGUGACGAGCGGCGGACGGGUGAGUAAUGUCUGGGAAACUGCCUGAUGGAGGGGGAUAACUACUGGAAACGGUAGCUAAUACCGCAUAACGUCUUCGGACCAAAGUGGGGGACCUUCGGGCCUCACGCCAUCAGAUGUGCCCAGAUGGGAUUAGCUAGUAGGUGGGGUAAUGGCUCACCUAGGCGACGAUCCCUAGCUGGUCUGAGAGGAUGACCAGCCACACUGGAACUGAGACACGGUCCAGACUCCUACGGGAGGCAGCAGUGGGGAAUAUUGCACAAUGGGCGCAAGCCUGAUGCAGCCAUGCCGCGUGUGUGAAGAAGGCCUUCGGGUUGUAAAGCACUUUCAGCGAGGAGGAAGGGUUCAGUGUUAAUAGCACUGUGCAUUGACGUUACUCGCAGAAGAAGCACCGGCUAACUCCGUGCCAGCAGCCGCGGUAAUACGGAGGGUGCAAGCGUUAAUCGGAAUUACUGGGCGUAAAGCGCACGCAGGCGGUUUGUUAAGUCAGAUGUGAAAUCCCCGCGCUUAACGUGGGAACUGCAUUUGAAACUGGCAAGCUAGAGUCUUGUAGAGGGGGGUAGAAUUCCAGGUGUAGCGGUGAAAUGCGUAGAGAUCUGGAGGAAUACCGGUGGCGAAGGCGGCCCCCUGGACAAAGACUGACGCUCAGGUGCGAAAGCGUGGGGAGCAAACAGGAUUAGAUACCCCUGGUAGUCCACGCUGUAAACGAUGUCGACUUGGAGGUUGUGCCCUUGAGGCGUGGCUUCCGGAGCUAACGCGUUAAGUCGAC